rfam:Felis catus isolate Cinnamon breed Abyssinian chromosome B4, whole genome shotgun sequence.
ACCUGGCUGGCUCAGUUGCUAGAGCAUGUGACUCUUGAUCUUGGGGUUGUGAGUUCAAGCCCCACGUUGGGCA